rnacentral:rRNA from 1 species
UACGUAGGGCGCAAGCGUUGUCCGGAAUUAUUGGGCGUAAAGAGCUCGUAGGCGGCUUGUCACGUCGAUUGUGAAAGCCCGAGGCUUAACCUCGGGUCUGCAGUCGAUACGGGCUAGCUAGAGUGUGGUAGGGGAGAUCGGAAUUCCUGGUGUAGCGGUGAAAUGCGCAGAUAUCAGGAGGAACACCGGUGGCGAAGGCGGAUCUCUGGGCCUUAGCCUGACGCUGAGGAGCGAAAGCGUGGGGAGCAAACAGG